GCAGAUGUUGCACUCGGUGCCGGUGGUUGACAGCACCGCAACUUCCCGCCCACAAACACUCACGUCGCGACGGCGCAGCUUCAGCCGAAUGAAUCUGGACAGUGAGCCAAAAAAAAA